rnacentral:rRNA from 1 species
GAUGAACGCUAGCUACAGGCUUAACACAUGCAAGUCGAGGGGAAACGGCAUUGAGUGCUUGCACUCUUUGGACGUCGACCGGCGCACGGGUGAGUAACGCGUAUCCAACCUUCCCAUUACUGUGGGAUAACCUGCCGAAAGGCAGACUAAUACCGCAUAGUCUUCGUUGACGGCAUCCGAUAUGAAGUAAAGAUUUAUCGGUAAUGGAUGGGGAUGCGUCUGAUUAGCUUGUUGGCGGGGUAACGGCCCACCAAGGCAACGAUCAGUAGGGGUUCUGAGAGGAAGGUCCCCCACAUUGGAACUGAGACACGGUCCAAACUCCUACGGGAGGCAGCAGUGAGGAAUAUUGGUCAAUGGACGGAAGUCUGAACCAGCCAAGUAGCGUGCAGGAUGACGGCCCUAUGGGUUGUAAACUGCUUUUGUAUGGGGAUAAAGUUAGGGACGUGUCCCUAUUUGCAGGUACCAUACGAAUAAGGACCGGCUAAUUCCGUGCCAGCAGCCGCGGUAAUACGGAAGGUCCAGGCGUUAUCCGGAUUUAUUGGGUUUAAAGGGAGCGUAGGCUGGAGAUUAAGUGUGUUGUGAAAUGUAGACGCUCAACGUCUGAAUUGCAGCGCAUACUGGUUUCCUUGAGUACGCACAACGUUGGCGGAAUUCGUCGUGUAGCGGUGAAAUGCUUAGAUAUGACGAAGAACUCCGAUUGCGAAGGCAGCUGACGGGAGCGCAACUGACGCUUAAGCUCGAAGGUGCGGGUAUCGAACAGG